CUACGGGCCGCAGCAGUGGGGAAUAUUGGACAAUGGGGGAAACCCUGAUCCAGCAAUGCCGCGUGUGUGAAGAAGGCCUGCGGGUUGUAAAGCACUUUCGGUUGGGAGGACUGCUUCUAGCACUAAUAUUGUUGGAAGUUGACGUUACCUUCAGAAGAAGCACCGGCUAACUCCGUGCCAGCAGCCGCGGUAAUACGGGGGGUGCAAGCGUUAAUCGGAAUUACUGGGCGUAAAGCGCGCGUAGGCGGCUAGAUCAGUCGGGUGUGAAAGCCCCGGGCUUAAGCUGGGAACUGCAUCCGAUACUGUCUAGCUUGAGUACAGGAGAGGAGAGUGGAAUUCCACAUGUAGCGGUGAAAUGCGUAGAUAUGUGGAGGAACACCAAUGGCGAAGGCAGCUCUCUGGCCUGAUACUGACGCUGAGGUGCGAAAGCGUGGGGAGCAAACAGGAUUAGAUACCCUUGUAGUC
rnacentral:rRNA from 1 species